GUCAUAACCUAAUGCAGUAAAUGCCACGUGCAUAUACUAAGGAGCAACACAGGUCAAGAGGUGACAUUGUGGCUAUGUUUUCAAGGACUAAGAACUUCUUUUCUAGAGGAAUGAAAGAAUUGUAUUAAAAGCCUUUAUGGACUGUCUAUGACUUUGGGUGGAUUUGGCACAUGAUGUGGUCCAAGCUCAUGGAGUGCACUUGGACUACAUGGGAAGUUUGAACUUUGUUUUAUGUGUGGUGUAGAGAUCCACACGAAGGUUUGACUGGGAAGUAGUGGACCACCAUACCUACCUGGACUUAAGCUUUUCUCUAAUUCUCUUUAACAAGAUGGAAGCUUAGUUGGGUCACCACUUCCUUAAUUCCAUUUAAUAUCUUCAGUCUGGUUAUUUCCUUGAACACAGGAUUUAGCUGCAUUCCACUUCCUGGUGCCCCUUUAAUCCUUGAACCAUACUUAAAAAAAAUCUGCAAGCAUUACUGUAAGCAGCACUAUGGAGGAGAGAUGAAGUAGUGAGACUAGUGACCAGCUGCUAGCUUCAGUAUGGUUCAGUUGAAAGAUGGUGAGCAAUAAAUGUCCAUGGUGCAUGUGUACACAGAGAAAGAAAACAUACAGAGUAAUCCUUUGUCAAUCAAAGCAGUCCAAGAAUCUUAAAUGAGUUUCUUCUUUGAGGAAUUAGCUCUGUGCCUUAGCCACCCACGGCUUUUAAUGACUUGAAGCCUGGCUCUGUAACAGAGCACCAUGAAAUAGCUUUUGUUGUUUAUGAAGCUUGACUUUUACAAAAGAUUUCUUUUAUAAAGACUUGAUUUUUAUAUAUAUAUGACUACGCUGUAAAUGUCUUCAGACACCAGAAGAGGGCAUCGGAUCCCAUUACAGAUGGCUGUGAGCCACCAUGUGGUUGCUGGGAAUUGAACUCAGGACCUCUGAAAGAGCAGUCAGUGCUCUUAACCACUGAGCCAUCUUGCAGCCCUACUUGUCACUUUUCACCUGUCUGUAAUUCCAGUUCCAGGGAGACCAAAGCUUUCCAAGGACAUUCACGCUCAUGGUGUACAUACUGCCUAACUCACACUUUGUUUUGUCUUUAGAAUAAUUUCUGGGUUUAAUUUUUUUUUUUUUAAUUUGGCUGGGGCAAGAGCUCACUGAGUACAGCACUUGCUGCAGAAGCGUGGGGACCGGCGCUAAGAUCCACAGCGCCCACAGUAAUGUAUGCCAUCUACAGGACCUAUCUUAGGAAUACGAUAGAGUAGAUAGACAAGAAGCAGAUGAAAAGUGUCACAUAAACACAAUUAGUUGUCAGUGGUUAUGCCAAUCAGAAAACACAAGCUUAAAUCCUUACUAGAAACUAAGAGUUUGCCUGUGAUGAUCACAUCGCACCACAGCGCUCCAAACUGGUGGACUAAAGUCAACAAUGAGGAAUUGGUUCACAGAGCAGUCCUAGUGGGAACUCUCAAGUGCUGGGCUGCUGAUGGCCAGCACCACAGCAUAGGAAGAAGACUGUCACUGCAGAAGACCUGGAUUCUGUUUCCAACACCAACUUGGUAGCUCACAGCUGGUUGUAACUCCAGUUCUAGCAGGAGGUCCAACACUUGUCCCCUCAAGGCACCAGGCACCACAGAUGUGGUUUGGUCAGCACUUAUAAAUCAAAAGAAAAACAUACUGAUACAUUUCAAAAACAAAAGUUAUAGGGUUUCAGCUUCUGCUAGAUGUAGUGUCCUUUUUUUUGUAUUAAUAGCCAUUGAUAACAAUCCUACAACUAACUAGGCAUGGUAGAACAGCCCUUUAAUCCCUGCAUUUGGGAAGCAAGGCAGGUGAGUUCAAAGCCAGCAUGAUUUAAAUAAUGAGUUCCAGGCCAGCUAAGGCUACAUAGUGAGGUCCUGCCUCAAAUCCUUCAUCUAGCUUUUGUUUAAAACAAACUAAACAAACCCCCCUAACCUGUGGUAUUCCUUUGCUUCAUGUUUUGUGAAAACAUCCCUCAUCAGCAGUUACCCUGUGUUGGAUCAGAAAGACAAGGCACAUUCUUGAUUAUUUCUUUCAUCCAUUUUCAGAACAAUAAGUUAGUUUCCCUACAUUCUUUGAUGAAAGGUUAUCUAAUAAGCUAUUUAUUGCUCAAGACCAAGAAGAACAUGGAUUUAUAUACACACUGGACAAGGUUUGUUUGUUUCAGCUAUUACUAUUAACAUUCAAAAAUAACCUGAUCUCUAUGGCCCGUGUAUCUUUGAGAUGGUCCUGGUAGUCACUGGCAAUUUCCUAUCUGGUAUGAAAGGUUGUUACCUCUUGUAUUUCCUAUAUGAGGGCAGUACUUAACCAUUCAUUCAAAGACUUCUGCUUCUUAGAGUGGGAAGUUGCACGUGGAGACCAAAACUGUAUAAUGCAGGAAGGAAUGCUUUUAGCCACUGUCAUACCUGAGUUCUGGGUCAUUUCAGAGGACAGAACGGAAAAUUUCCCCUCAAAGAUAAAAUAUGUCCAUGGUGUUUUGAAAGGAAAAUGUUUCCUAUUGUCUUGGAAUUUGAAUGCUUGGUCCCCUGUUUGUAGAGCUGUUUGGGAAGGCUUAGAAGGCAUGACCUUGUGGGAGGAGGUGUGUCAUUGGGAACCAGCUUUGACGUUUCGAAGACCCAUGGUAUUCCUACUUCACAGUCUCUCUGCUUGUGCUGCCCUUCAAAUUGUGAGCUCACAGCUUCUCCAGUGGUCAUGUUGGCUGCUUGCUACCCCACUGCUCCGACACUUAAGCCCCCAGAACUGUAGAUAAAUAAGUAAACCGUUCUCUAGCUUGUCUUGGUCGUGGUGUUUUACCACAGCGAUGGAAAGAGUAGCUAAUAAGUGUUGAUAGUUCUAAUUCCGUUUUCGUUUGAACCAUAAGGUUUGUACUUAAAAUGAAUGGUCCUAAGUCAGGGCCUCCCUUUAACUUGGCCAGAACAACUUGGGUUUUGAUGACACUAAACUGACUUUUUUAAGAAAUAAAGAUCCCUUCAUCCCCAGUACUGGGAGUGAGCUCCUGAGUCUUGUGCAUGCUGGGUCAGACCUCUACCACUGAGCUAUAUUCCCAGCUCAUAAUUACUCAUCCAACUUAGACUGUACCAUGGACAGCCUCAGGAUAGCAAUGCCAUCGCUAGGAAAAGUGAACUGACACUUAGGCGGUUCUUGUCCUCAGGGUACAGCCUCUUGACUGACAUCUUUUUCUUUACUAUAGAUUGCUUCUGUUGUGGCUAUCCUCAGAAACAAAAUUAGAUUUACUUCUUACUGUCAAGUUUUAGAGGAUUGUCUUUCUAAGAAUACAUUUAUUUGGCUUUGGUAGUAGUCUCAAUGGUUACAGUGGGAAAUUAACAAAAUAAGAUUUAUUUAAGGAAAUAAAGCUUUUUAGUCCUUUCUCCCUGCCAUUGAUUAAAAAAAAAAAAAAGAAAAGAAAAAGAAAAGAGAGAGAAUCACCUUUCUUAACAAAUAGAACCUGUCUCGUGGUGCGUUCUCAGAGACACAUGUUUAUGUGCAGGGAUUCUGUUGGAAAAGAUAGAGAGAUGGUGUGUGGCCUUUAAAAGAUGAAAACUGGAAGCUGGAGAGGGAGAUGGUUUAGAGUGCUUGCUGUUCUUCCAGAAGACCUGAGUUCAGUUCUCAGGAUCAAGUCCGGCAGCUCAUAAUCACGAGUAACUCCAGAUGUAAGAAUUAGACACUUCCUUAGGCACUCACGCAUGUGCAUGCACACACACACACACAUACAU
rnacentral:lncRNA from 1 species